GACGAACGCUGGCGGCGUGCCUAAUACAUGCCAGUAGAACGCUGAAGGAGGAGCUUGCUUCUCUGGAUGAGUUGCGAACGGGUGAGUAACGCGUAGGUAACCUGCCUGGUAGCGGGGGAUAACUAUUGGAAACGAUAGCUAAUACCGCAUAAGAGUAGAUGUUGCAUGACAUUUGCUUAAAAGGUGCAAUUGCAUCACUACCAGAUGGACCUGCGUUGUAUUAGCUAGUUGGUGGGGUAACGGCUCACCAAGGCGACGAUACAUAGCCGACCUGAGAGGGUGAUCGGCCACACUGGGACUGAGACACGGCCAAGACUCCUACGGGAGGCAGCAGGAGGGAAUCUUCGGCAAAGGACGGAAGGCUGACCGAGCAACGCCGCGUGAGUGAAGAAGGGUGUCGGAUCGUAAAGCUCUGUUGUAAGAGAAGAACGAGUGUGAGAGUGGAAAGUUCACACUGUGACGGUAUCUUAACAGAAAGGGACGGCUAACUACGUG
rnacentral:rRNA from 1 species